UACGAAGGGGGCUAGCGUUGUUCGGAAUUACUGGGCGUAAAGCGCGCGCAGGCGGCUAUCCAAGUCAGUGGUGAAAGCCCGGAGCUCAACUCCGGAACUGCCAUUGAAACUGUUUAGCUUGAGGAUGAGAGAGGUGAGUGGAAUUCCCAGUGUAGAGGUGAAAUUCGUAGAUAUUGGGAAGAACACCGGUGACGAAGGCGGCUCACUGGCUCAUUACUGACGCUCAGGCGCGAAAGCGUGGGGAGCAAACAGG
rnacentral:rRNA from 1 species